ACCGUCAUUCUACAUGAGAAUGAGCACUGUGGUGUCAGUGUCUAGAAUUGGUCAACGUGGCUAAAUUGAGAUAUGUUUCCAUCACAAUAAGUGCAUUGCAGUGAUGACAAUGAGACCUGUAACAUUU
ensembl:snoRNA